rnacentral:rRNA from 1 species
AUUGAACGCUGGCGGCAUGCUUUACACAUGCAAGUCGAACGACAGCACGAAAGAGCUUGCUCUUUUGGUGGCGAGUGGCGCACGGGUGAGUCAUGCAUCGGAACGUACCGAGUAAUGGGGGAUAACUGUCCGAAAGGAUAGCUAAUACCGCAUACGCUUUGAGAAGGAAAGUGGGGGCUCUUCGGACCUCACGUUAUUCGAGCGGCCGAUGUCUGAUUAGCUAGUUGGUGGGGUAAAGGCCUACCAAGGCGACGAUCAGUAGCGGGUCUGAGAGGAUGAUCCGCCACACUGGGACUGAGACACGGUCCAGACUCCUACGGGAGGCAGCAGUGGGGAAUUUUGGACAAUGGGCGCAAGCCUGAUCCAGCCAUGCCGCGUGUCUGAAGAAGGCCUUCGGGUCGUAAAGGACUUUUGUUAGGGAAGAAAAGGAUAGUGUUUAUACCAUUAUCUGCUGACGGUACCUAAAGAAUAAGCACCGGCUAACUACGUG